AGGGGUGGUCCAACCAGCAAGAACUGCUAAUUCCUGCAUCCGAGCUUUAAACCUCGGCCCCCUU
rnacentral:tRNA from 1 species